GCCCGGGUCGUGGCAGAAGCGAAAGCUUCGGUGGUACGUAAAAUCUGCUGGCCUUCGGCCGUGCCGGUUCGAUUCCGGCCCCGGGCACCA
rnacentral:tRNA from 1 species